UAACAGAUCUCACAGUUUGCGCUUUGUGACCGCCGAGGGCCCGCGGAAUGGCUCCGGGUUUGGAGAGAAACGUAAACAAGUGUGCAAGGAGGUCCCCCCCCACCCCCCCUACUUGCAGGCAGCGACACACAUCAGGCGAGCUCUUGGCUCUCGAAAAAAGCUCCGACUGAAUGACCAGACAAGCAGUAACGCUUAGAGAUACGGAGGGCGCCGCGACUUCUACUAGCGCGGGGCUGUACGAGUGAGAUAGCGAAGGGGGAGUUGGGGGGGGGGGCGGUCAGGUUAUCUGUUCGAUAAUGCUCAGCAACAAGCACAACAACAACAGCAACGGUGGCGAGAGAGAAGCACUCCGCUAGGACUCGUCUUAUUGAGCAAACGAGAAGAAAUGCUUUUCGAAGUUAUCGCCGCAUGAGGGAUGAGAUGGAUUUUUUUUGUUGUUGUUGUUGUUUCUUUGAAUGGUUGGGAGGUAAGUGCCUUCGGUGGAAGGAUUUCGGUGAAGGGGCAGCUUUGAUGGCGGACUACACGGAGACGAAAUGGCUAGACGGCAUGCAACUCAAACCACCGACACCCCACCGACAAACCUCGCAUUGUCCUCCUCUGAAGGAAGAUGGAACGGACUCCCCCUUCGUAUUUGUGGGGCGGACAAACGACAUGCUCAUUUGGUCUGGGGACUGUCUGGUCAGAGAAGAUCAGAUUUUGGGGAGGGGGAGCGCCGCAUUUUGGGGAGCUCGCUUGGCUAAUGUCCGGUGAAAUUCCAGCCAUGGUAUUUUUUCUUCACGAGGACCCGACAGAGAGGUUUGAAGGCGGAGGAAGAGGAGGAGGAGGAAAGUAGCAGAGAGAAUGGAAAGAUGGGAGGAGGGCGUCGGAUUAAACCAUACAACAGGUCCCCGAAGUCCUCGCCGCUCCGUCAAAUGGUCCGGGAAAAAAAAAAAAUUCAAUCCAAGGCCUAAAAUCGCAAAGACGAAACUGACCUUGACUGCGCUUGCGGCUCUUCGAUGCUACGUGAGGCUUUUUCCACUUGACAUCUCAAACACAAACUUCCUUCCCUUUAGUUUUCAUGUUCAGCUUAAAACAAAGGCCCUUUGACACCACAUUUAAACCUGAAUUUGCGGAAAAGUGAUGAGCUCGACGGGCGCUUGCUGUUAGUACUUUUAUCAUCUAUCACAGGGCAUGUAAGAAGGGAGAAUAAAAAAGGUGGGUGGGUGGGGGGGGGCGGGCGAUGUUUUGUCUUUGUACCUGAUAAACGCUCUCUUCUGACUGGGGGCCAUGGAGGGGUUCGUGUCCAGCCUCAAACACUAUGUACUACAGAACAAGGUGUAGAAGUGCAGAGAAGGGCAGGAGACACACGGCAGGUUUUGCAUGGAACAUCCGGGGAGAUGAUGGGGGGUGGGGUAGGGGGGGGGCACGCCAUGAGAAUAAAGGAGAGCACGGGGGUGUGGGGUGGUAUCAAGUGGGGGAAUGAAAAGAGAGGGAGGGUGUCAAAAACAAAGUGCAGCAGAAGAGAGAGGAGUGGGGGUGGGCGAGAUGGGGUAGAGGGGGGGGGGGCAUUGGGAGAGAAAGAAAAAAAGAGGUCGGAAGGGGAAAGAGCACAAGUAUCAUCAAGUCAGGUAGCAGUUCAUAGCAAUGUGGAGGUUGUAACCAGAGGUCAACAGAGGCAUGAGGGCAUCUUUGACAGAAACUAGCUCUGAACAGUCACAAAUUCAGCCUGUCAUCACGUCAAGGAUCUGAUCUUCAGUGGCAAAGCAAAACAUUUCUCAGACGAAAACAACAAUGGCUCAGUCGCUAUGAAAUGUAUUUCUCAGCUGGAGAAAUAGGAAAUGUGUUUUCGACCCGACGGCGAGUUGAAAGGAGACCCUGAUGCGAUUUCUUCAUCCGCAGGAGAUAACAUUUGAAUUCAAUUGGGGUUUCCGUUAGAAUAUUCGGAAAAGGUCACAAAGCAAGAACGUUUUAUAAUCCAAUGCUGGAUUAAUUUUAGGAAAGUCAAGUGUUUCAAUUUGUGCUGUGAUUUUUUUAAAAAAACAUCUUUUGAAUCCCUGGCCCCAUAGCUGGAGUUUUGUCAACCAACUUCAAAACAACACUGCAAAAUGAAUGACUAAGCAGAUAGUCAAGAGGAGCAAACAGAUGAUUUGGGAGGUGUUUUGGACAUACGAGCUCAGAAUAAGAGUUAGAGUUGUCUGUAUUCAGUGUGAGCAGGAAAACCAAAAACAUUCAAUCAAGUGCAGGCAAAAAGGAAAUCGCAAUUCUGGUUGGGAGCAAAUCUUAGGAAGGAACUGCGACACCGACACAAAUCAACAGAAGGAAAAAACAAACAAAGAAAAAAAAACGAAAUAUGGUUUUACAACAUCGCACUGGCAAAUGGAAGUUGAAUGGUUGAACAAAACUGUCCGUAAAGAUGGUCCGCUGGGGGGGUCGCCGGGGGGUGAAACUGGUUCAAUCAUUAAUUUGAGCAGAUCAGAGACCAGAUCAAGUCAACAAAUACUCUCGAAUUGCAAUGUGUGCCUCCACACCUACCUGGUAAACGGGAUCGUCUGCUUCGUCCUCCAAGAUGGUCUGCGAGGAAGGAGGGGAGAAGACACACGACACAUUUUAUCAACGUUUCGUCGACAUUGUGAGAUUUGGCAUGGAGAAAAUUGGGCAAGACUAGCGGCGAUGAGGCGCGCAGACUCGUUGACAUUCGUCUACAGUGCCUUCGCCGAUCAGGGUGCGGAACACAAUGCGGGAAAAGAAAAUCCACGUAACGGCGAAGAUGCGAAAGCUUGAACCGUGUUCCAGUGAGGGAUUGCUGCAUAACGCAACAUUCUUUUUCAGUCCUACCUGGUAGACGGCCUGCUCGCAAUGUUUGUCCUUCUGGGCCUUUUUCUCCAUUUCCUCCCGUUGCUUAAUGUCGUAGAUGAGGGUAAAGAGGUCACGCAGGUCAAUGAUGAGAGGCUCCGCCUGUGCCGACGAGUGAAAAAUGGAAGGAAGACCGCGUGAGGAAAUGCCGAGUCAUCCGCUUCAUUCGGUUGAUUUCUAUUCAUUCAUUUAACAAUCUAUUUAAUGUGGAUGUGGACAACCAACACUUGGCAGUUUAUUGAAGGUCGUUUCGAAUAUUUUGGAUACUUUAUUACGCGACAUGAGAGAAUCAAUACAUCAGAAAAAGAAAAGAAAUCUCAUUGUGGCUCAGUGGAGCAUUUGGUUAGCAGGUUAGCGCUACAGAAAAUGGAUGCUAUUUAGCCAUUCGGCGUUCAUAUGGAGAGUAUGAAUGACCGCAGAAGAGUUAACGAGCACUUUCAUCAAAAUACUCACCGACUGGGCGGUCUUAAUGGCGACAAACCUGUGGUGGCCCUCCUUUCCACACACGUAACCGAAGGCCCGGUGGUCCCUGGUGUCCUUGGCAAUGUAGCUAAUUUCAUGGACCGAAUGCUGAUGCUGGAGUACCUGGACGACGGAGGCAGAGACCAAAUGUUUCGCCUCGUCAAUAUGCCGCUUUAAAGGCGACAUUAUUUACACGUUACAGGGAGGGAAGAAUAAGUAUCGCGCGUGGCUAAUCAUCACGUUGUUCACGAGCUGAUCAGGGUGCGACGAGUUGCAAACUGAAUAUUCCAAUCCCAAGGCACAUAAAGACAAAGAACGCGACACACUCGUAUUCAUAUUACGGGCGGUCGAGUUGCUUGAUUUCGUAUAACAGGCACGCUUUGGUAUUGUGGGAGGAAGAUGGCGUCUCGAGAGAAAACGCACAUGCUAACCGCUAUUAUAGCAUGCUGCCUAAAAAUACGUUCAUGUAUACAGUAUGUCAGUGUAAAAUUGUGACUCGCUGAGUGAGAGCGAGUUUAAACGUGGUAGGUGGUUAAAAAAACAAAAAUGCUUUUUUUGGGGGUGUGGGGGGGAGCUGUCACCCAUGCACACCCACCUACAUCCGCCCUAUUAGCAGGAAUAAGCCCCGGCUCAGGGGAGCGACUUUCUAUUCGACAAAUUCAGCAGGCGAGCGAUGCAAGCGACGUCUGAAUUAAUGUCGAAUACAAAAAAAAACUAUUACGACUCCGUUCAGUGGAGAAUCAUGUCAGCUUUACAUAAAAGCGUUUCCAUCCAAAUGCUUAGCUAAGCCUGCACGGGGAGUGAUCCCCCCCAUUUCCGAACAUAAUAACUCACGAGAGUGAAGUGUUAUUUACCGCCAGUAAUCAGCGAAUUAAAUGACGAGCAUUAGGGGACACCAGUUCCCAAAACAACAAAUAGGCUUGUCAAACGUGUUGAGCUGGUUAGCGGGCGCGCCGUUUAGCACAUCACUCAGAUACAAAAUAGAUGUGAUCACGGAGGUACGGGGGUUGGGGGGUGGGGGGGUGUAGGGCUUUGUGGCACGGAGGUCGGGGCAAAUGCCGCAUAAUUAUAAGUUCGGCACGGCUGAGGUGGAGCCGCGGCGUAAUUAGUAUUAGUGGCAAUGAUCAUUAAGGGGUGGAACGGCGUGCUAAUUAUCAGUUAGCGCUGAUGAGGCAGAGUGGGCCUAUCUCGCUGACACUUUGCCGCAGGAUGAGGGGCGGGCGAGGCGGGUGGGGUGUUUUGAGUCGGGCCUCUCCAUCAUCCCGUAAUGGAGCAGCAGGCCUGUGAGCUGGCCAAGGGGAAGAAGGCCAAGACGGAGGUAGAAACAGCCCGUCUCCGGACAUUAGCAUCGUAUUGCUCAUUGCACUGUGCUGCAUCAUUAGCAGACAGAAAGGGCCCCGAUGGUCUCAAGUGUUUCCCCGGGCAUCGCGUUGCUCUUAUUGCGAUAGAUGUUCAAGCGGUUUCAUUCAAUUUCUUUCUUGCCAAACAUUUGCCGCCAGAAGAUUUUCUUUGGAAAGCUUUGUCGUUUGAGGAAUCUUUGUUUUAUGGCGAGCUCACAAGAUGGCGGCUGUGGAAGCCAUUGCGUAGUCAAGCGGGAAAACAUCUGCCCUCUAGAUGUCCUCCACGAGGGGUUUCCAAACCCUUUUUUCAAUUUUGGGGGGGCCGCACACACACACACA